rnacentral:rRNA from 1 species
GACGAACGCUGGCGGCGUGCUUAACGCAUGCAAGUCGAACGGAUUGCUUGGUGCUUGCACUGAGUGGUUAGUGGCGAACGGGUGAGUAACACGUGAGUAACCUGCCCCCUUCUUUGGGAUAAGCACCUGAAAGGGUGUCUAAUACUGAUUAUUCUGCUGGAAUCGCAUGGUUUUGGUUGGAAAGGUUUUUCUGGUGGGGGAUGGGCUCGCGGCUUAUCAGCUUGUUGGUGGGGUAAUGGCUUACCAAGGCUUUGACGGGUAACCGGCCUGAGAGGGUGACCGGUCACAUUGGGACUGAGAUACGGCCCAGACUCCUACGGGAGGCAGCAGUGGGGAAUAUUGCACAAUGGACGAAAGUCUGAUGCAGCGACGCCGCGUGAGGGAUGAAGGCCUUCGGGUUGUAAACCUUUUUCGCUUUUGACCAAGGCAGCAUUUUGGUGUUGUUGAGGGUAUGAGGUAAAGAAGCUCCGGCUAACUACGUGCCAGCAGCCGCGGUAAAAC